rnacentral:antisense_RNA from 1 species
UGUGGGAGCGAGCUUGCUCGCGAUAGCGUCCGUUCAGUUGGCCUCCAUGUCGACUGACCCGCCGCCAUCGCGAGCAAGCUCGCUCCCACA